AGUCUCCGCGUCUCCCUCGCGAACUCGGUGAAAGGAAUUGGCGCCGUUCGACACCAGGCGGGUCCGCUCUGCAGCACAAACCCACCUCCAGCCGCAGCCGCAGCCGCCGCCCGGGCCGAGCAGCAGCCGCAGCCGCCGCCAGUGGCCGAGUGAGCGGAGUCCAGUUUGAGCCAGCGCCUAGCGGUGAAUCGGGGCCUCACCAUGAGUUCCUCGCCUGUUAAUGUGAAAAAGCUGAAGGUGUCGGAGCUGAAGGAGGAGCUCAAGAAGCGGCGCCUGUCCGACAAGGGCCUCAAGGCCGAGCUCAUGGAGCGUCUCCAGGCCGCGCUGGACGACGAGGAGGCCGGGGGCCGCCCCGCCAUGGAGCCUGGGAACGGCAGCCUAGACCUGGGCGGGGAUUCCGCCGAGCGCUCGGGAGCAGGCCUCGAGCAGGAGGCCGCGGCCGGUGGCGACGAGGAGGAGGAGGAAGAAGAGGAGGAGGAGGAAGGGAUCGCCGCCCUGGAUGGCGACCAGAUGGAGCUCGGGGAGGAGAACGGCGCCGCGGGGGCGGCCGACUCGGGCCCGAUGGAAGAGGAGGAGGCCGCCUCGGAGGACGAGAACGGCGACGACCAGGGCUUCCAGGAAGGGGAGGAUGAGCUCGGCGAGGAGGAGGAAGGCGCGGGCGACGAGAACGGGCACGGGGAGCAGCAGCCUCAACCGCCGGCGGCGCCGCAGCAACAGCCCCAGCAGCAGCGCGGGGCCGCCAAGGAGGCCGCAGGGAAGAGCAGCGGCCCCACGUCGCUGUUCGCGGUGACGGUGGCGCCGCCCGGGGCGAGGCAGGGCCAGCAGCAGGCGGGAGGUAAGAAGAAGGCGGAAGGCGGCGGAGGCGGCGGUCGCCCCGGGGCUCCGGCGGCGGGAGACGGCAAAACAGAACAGAAAGGCGGAGAUAAAAAGAGAGGUGUUAAAAGACCUCGAGAAGACCAUGGCCGUGGAUAUUUUGAAUAUAUUGAAGAGAAUAAGUAUAGCAGAGCCAAAUCGCCUCAGCCACCUGUUGAAGAAGAAGAUGAACAUUUCGACGACACAGUGGUUUGUCUUGAUACUUAUAAUUGCGACCUACAUUUUAAAAUAUCAAGAGAUCGCCUUAGUGCUUCUUCCCUUACUAUGGAGAGUUUUGCUUUUCUUUGGGCUGGAGGAAGAGCAUCCUAUGGUGUGUCAAAAGGCAAAGUCUGUUUUGAGAUGAAGGUUACAGAGAAGAUCCCAGUAAGGCAUUUAUAUACAAAAGAUAUUGAUAUUCAUGAAGUUCGGAUUGGCUGGUCACUAACCACAAGUGGAAUGUUGCUGGGUGAAGAAGAGUUUUCUUACGGGUAUUCUCUAAAAGGAAUAAAAACAUGCAACUGUGAGACUGAAGAUUAUGGAGAGAAGUUUGAUGAAAAUGAUGUGAUCACAUGUUUUGCUAACUUUGAAAGUGAUGAAGUAGAACUCUCCUAUGCAAAGAAUGGACAAGAUCUUGGCAUUGCCUUCAAAAUCAGUAAGGAAGUUCUUGCUGAACGACCACUCUUCCCACAUGUUCUGUGCCACAACUGCGCAGUGGAAUUUAAUUUUGGUCAGAAGGAGAAGCCAUAUUUUCCAAUACCUGAAGAGUAUACUUUUAUCCAGAAUGUCCCCUUGGAGGAUCGAGUUCGAGGACCAAAGGGGCCUGAAGAGAAGAAAGAUUGUGAAGUGGUGAUGAUGAUUGGCUUGCCAGGAGCUGGGAAAACUACCUGGGUUACUAAACAUGCAGCAGAAAAUCCUGGUAAAUAUAACAUUCUUGGAACAAACACCAUUAUGGAUAAAAUGAUGGUGGCAGGUUUUAAGAAGCAAAUGGCAGAUACUGGAAAACUGAACACACUGUUGCAGAGAGCUCCACAGUGUCUUGGGAAGUUUAUUGAGAUUGCUGCCCGUAAGAAACGAAAUUUCAUUUUGGAUCAGACAAAUGUGUCUGCUGCUGCCCAGAGGAGAAAAAUGUGCCUGUUUGCAGGCUUCCAACGAAAAGCUGUUGUAGUUUGCCCAAAAGAUGAAGACUAUAAGCAGAGAACACAGAAGAAAGCAGAAGUCGAGGGAAAAGACCUACCAGAACAUGCAGUCCUCAAGAUGAAAGGAAACUUUACUUUGCCAGAAGUAGCUGAGUGCUUUGAUGAAAUAACCUAUGUUGAGCUUCAGAAGGAGGAAGCCCAAAAACUUUUGGAGCAAUAUAAGGAAGAAAGCAAAAAGGCUCUUCCACCAGAAAAGAAACAGAACACAGGCUCAAAGAAGAGCAAUAAAAAUAAGAGUGGCAAGAACCAGUUUAACAGAGGUGGUGGCCAUAGAGGACGUGGUGGAUUCAAUAUGCGUGGUGGAAAUUUCAGAGGAGGAGCUCCUGGGAAUCGUGGUGGAUAUAAUAGGAGAGGCAAUAUGCCCCAGAGAGGCGGUGGCGGAGGCGGAAGUGGUGGAAUUGGCUAUCCAUAUCCUCGAGGCCCUGUUUUUCCCAGCCGAGGCGGUUAUUCAAACAGAGGGAACUACAACAGAGGUGGAAUGCCCAACAGAGGGAACUACAACCAGAACUUCAGAGGACGAGGAAACAAUCGUGGCUACAAAAAUCAAUCUCAGGGCUACAACCAGUGGCAGCAGGGUUCUGUCCAUGUGAAUGUGCUGUGUGGAAGAGUAAAAGGGCCCAAGUAAAUGUGUUCCAGUGAUUGCAAUAGCUAUUUAGCUGGUACCAACUGCUCUAUCACCUAGUAUGAAAUUUCGGAUUUAAUGGAAGGAAGCAGUGCAGCUGGAGGCUCCCAGUGGGUGUGGAAGAUCUCCAGUUAUGCAGUCAUUUUGCUGAGAAAAUGAACUAACCUUGUAAUUGGUGAAGGCCUUGGAAGUUUGACCAGCCCAGCCCAGAGAGGUUUCUCUUACUCAGGGUAAGAUCUAAUCAUAGUGGCUCAAGCUAGAAGGGAUUUGAGUUACUUAAUCCAUUUGCUGACUUUAUGUCACAUGGUUAUUAAACUGAAGCUGAGAACUUUAAGUGGCUUCACACACUGUUAAAUAUCUGACUUGAUGACUUCUCAGUCUCUGGCACCCGGACUCAUGCAGUGAGUGCUGCCUCUGACCUUGGGUCAUGGAGACUGCACGCAGCUUUGUGUCAGCAACAGUAGGCAGGUGAUCUUGCAAACUGCAUUCUCCUAAUAGCCUUCCCUAAUCAAUGUCCAGGUCCUUCCUUUGGUGGCUGCCAGAUGGUUAGGAUCAAUAAAAAUCUCUUAGAGCAUGUCUGGCAGUCACUCAUUUGGUAACACACACACACACACACACCUCUUAGGACAGCCAUGAGAAAGUGGGCAUGGGAGGGAAAAUGCUGCCUCUCUGCUGAGGUGAACCAGAGCAAGCUCCACCUAUCCUGAAAAGGGAUAAUGGAACAGAAUACAGUUUCAAGACAUCUGUUCCUUGCUCUGCUUAGCUCACUGUGGUAAUCAGUAGGACCAAUAAUAAAUAAUGCCACUAUCUUAAGACACUGGUGUCUUUUUUCAUAUUUAUCAUUCCUUAGGAAGGUUUCUGAGCUUGUGCUUUAUUUUUUGAAAAGUAAUGUUGAUAUUAAAACUGUAAAUGAAUGCUGUGGAUUUUGUUGGGUGUGGAGUUUUGUUUUUCUAUCUCCAUGUCUUUACAUUAAUAUGACUAGUUCUGCAGUUUUUUCCUUUGCACCAAACAUGUUCUGAAAAUACUUUCAUGCAUACCAUGUGCAUAUUUAAAUUCUACUUAAGUAAAAAACACUUUCCUACUUGAAAAAAGUAUUUAGACCAGCCAAAAGCCUUUGCUGAGAGAUGACUUGCCUGUUGGAAUGGAAGAAUAGUGUCAAGCAGUGGGGUACAUUUUAAAAAUAACAACUGCAAAGUGACAGUCUAUAAUUAGUUUUAAGUCUGAUAGAAACCAGGAAGUAGCCCUUAAUUUUUAACAGGGUACAGUAAUAGCAGUUGUCAUUGGUUCUUAAGGCAACCUGAGAAUUUGUUGGACAUCGGUGCUCACUGCUUACUGCAGGGAACCAUGUGGAACACUCGGUAUGCUACGUAUGAUGAGAUACAGGACCACAGUAAUGGGGUAGAUAGUCAGAAACCUGUGGAAAAAAGACAACUUGACACAGUACUUUAUUUACUUGAUUGAAAGCUCUCUCAUGAUACAUAAAAUGUUGCUGUAGUUCACACUGAAGUGGUUAUCUGGGUUUUCUAUGCUCAAGACUGCUCAAUGGCUGCUGCCGCUCCCGUUGGUUUUUCUUUCAGGAUCAAGGUGGGUACUUUCAUAUAAAAUCUUGUUUUUAAUUCCUUCUCUGGCAACUCUUUCCUGGAUUCUUAGCUUUGCAUAAUUAUAUCUACAAUGGAACCUUGUAAGGAGAACAUGAACAAAUCAAUAUAAAUAAAAGAUACCAGAGUUCCCUUGCGGCUCAGUGGUUAAGAACCUGACUAGGAACCAUGAGGUUGCGGGUUUGAUCCUGGCCUUGCUCAGUGGGUUAAGGAUCCAGCCUUGCCAUGAGCUGUAGGCUGCAGUCAUGGCUGGGAUCCUGCGUUGCUGUCGCUGUGGCGUAGGCCGGCGGCUGUACCUCUGAUUCGACCCUAGCCUGGGAACCUCCAAAUGCUGCAGGUUUGGCCCUAAAAAGAAAAAAGACCAAAAAAAAAAAAAAAAAAAACCCACAAAAAAACUAAAAUUUGACGUUUAUAAUCGAAAAUUGUAAAUGCUUACAGAUGACAGUGGUUAUGUACACAUUCUUAAAGUGGCUUAUUUAUUUACUUAUUUUUGCUUUUUAGGGCUGCAUAUGGAAAUUUCCCAGGCUAGGGGUCAAAUUGGAGCUGCAUCCACCAGCCUACGUCACAGCACCACUGGAUCCUUAACCCACUGAGAUGAACCCUCAUGGAUGCUGGUUGGAUUUGUUUUCAGUGCUCCACAAUGGGAACUCCUUAAAGUAAUAUUUUUAGAUGUUAAAUGCCAUAGGCAGGGAUGAAAUGUGCAUUUACGUUAAUUUUUUAAAAAGUAGAGUCCUUCCUAAAUGAAGUAUAAACCCUGACAGGGCAUUGAUGCACUAAUGGCAUGCAUUCAUCUGUUCAUCUGACAAAUGACAUGUGUGUUUAUAUACAUGUUUAAAAGAUUUGAGAUGUUCCAGCAGUAUUUUGUAAGAUAAAUAUCACUGAGGGUGGGAAUUGCUCUGAGUAGAACAUAUGCUUGGAAUUAGAUAAACCUAUCACAGUAAUGGAGCUUCGUGAAUUUUAGCACACAUACCAGCAUCCUAAAGUUACCAAGAUAAAUCCUCCUACUGCAACAUCGCAUGAUCUUCUGAUUCUACCUGUCAAGGAAGCAUAACCACUGUAAUUAUACAUUACAUGUUAUAUAUUGUACUUCAUUUUUUUUUUAAUGCAGAGGGAAAAAAAAAAAAAGAUACUCACUCGUUAACAAAAAGUGUCCAAGGCCAGCCACAACAGAUCCCAGCGAACCAUGUAAUAUUGAUUCCCGUGCACAGGGUGUGUUCUCGACAUCUAAAAUUCCUAGGAGCUUAAAUGGCUAGGAAAAAUAAGAACCUAGUUUGAACGAGAAAAUACUUCAGGGUGGUUUGGCAAAGAUUAAGAUCGUCAAUCAUCCUGCUUUGAUAUAUAACACAGCUCUAAAAUGGAAACCUUGAGAAUUUGACCAGAAAGUCCUAAGUAAGCAGCAGGGUAAAUUAAAUCUCCAUUGGUUGGGGCAUUAAGGCAUGCCAUAAUUUGUUGACUGGUUUAGAGAGAAGGGCAUAAAGUGUUUCAUGAGCUCUUUAAACUGUGUAAAGUCAUGUGGAAUUUGGCUAUCACUGAAAUUAAAAAGUACAGUUUCCUAAUAAUUUGAGAGGUAUACAUGGGGGAAAUGAAAUUGUUCUAACCAUGUUGCUACACUGCUCUUUUUAAAGUCCUUUAAUGAUUUAAACGAUCUAGGUAACGAGGUGAGCCUCAGUUGUGUUUGUAAGAAUACAUGUUAUGACAAAUGUCUGUUUCCUUGCUGGUGUCAGACUUGAUUAGUUUAAUUCUUUGUUGACAGCACACGGUAACCACUUUGUAUGAUGAAAAAAGGUGGAAACCUAGAGGGUUGGGUUGUCUCAGCUCUGGCACUAACUCUUGUCAACUGUACAAUGUAUUUUUUCUCUCUGGCCCCUAUCUGUAGUGAAACGAUUGGGCCAGGUAGUAAUUCCUUCUACAGUCAAGAUUUGACUUGGCGCCUAAUAAAGCAAAAGUUAUUUACUCUC